rnacentral:SRP_RNA from 1 species
GCUGGGCAUGGUGGCGCGUGCCUGUAAUCCCAGCUACUCAGGAGGCUGAGGCAGAAGAAUUGCUUGAACCCAGGAGGUGGAGGUUGUGGUGAGCUGAGAUCGUGCCACUGCACUCCAGCCUGGGUAACAAGAGCAAGACUCCGUCUCAA